rnacentral:rRNA from 1 species
UGGGGAAUAUUGGACAAUGGGCGAAAGCCUGAUCCAGCAAUGCCGCGUGAGUGAUGAAGGCCUUAGGGUUGUAAAGCUCUUUUACCCGGGAAGAUAAUGACUGUACCGGGAGAAUAAGCCCCGGCUAACUCCGUGCCAGCAGCCGCGGUAAUACGGAGGGGGCUAGCGUUGUUCGGAAUUACUGGGCGUAAAGCGCGCGUAGGCGGCUUUGUAAGUUAGAGGUGAAAGCCCGGAGCUCAACUCCGGAACUGCCUUUAAGACUGCAUCGCUAGAAUUGUGGAGAGGUGAGUGGAAUUCCGAGUGUAGAGGUGAAAUUCGUAGAUAUUCGGAAGAACACCAGUGGCGAAGGCGACUCACUGGACACAUAUUGACGCUGAGGUGCGAAAGCGUGGGGAGCAAACAGG